GGCAAAACAAAGAGUCAGGGUCUUCUGUGAGAACAGCCACUCCCAAGGGUGGGCCCAUGAGCCCUGAGGGAACUCAGGAAAACAUAUCAAAAGAGUGAUUCCGACUUCGACUGUGAGAAAAUGGCACUCAGAUUCGGCCAACAUCUCAUCAAGCCCUCUGUGGUGUUUUUCAAAACAGAACUGUCCUUUGCCCUGGUGAACAGGAAACCUGUGGUCCCAGGACGUAUCCUUUUUUUUUUUUUUUAAGAAAGGAAAAAUAGAAAGCCUCUGAAUCUAACAGGCCAAAUGAAUAUAGGAUUGACCUCUGGUUUGUUGAAAAAGGUAAACAAGGAAUCCCUUGCAUUCCCCCCUUGGAGAAACCAGGUAAGAUGCUAUUCAUAUCUAUUCUCAAUCCAUUUGGUGGCACCAGUAAUAUGCUUGAUCAAUGUUGCAGAACUUCUGAAAAGAGUUGCUUAGCAACCGUGGCCUUGGAGGUGAAUCUUUGCUUGACCUUUUCGCUAUGGUAGCUAUGUAAAUAAAUAGGUGCUUCUAAGAUGUACCCAGUGAGGAUCCUGAGCACUUUGUUUUUGCCUAACAGUUGUGAAUUUUAAUAGAAAGAUAGAGAUUGUUGGCACUCUUGUGAUGUGGAUGUAAGGUAUUACAUGAUGAUUAGAGACAGACUUGGUUUCUUUACCUCUGGGAGAUCAUUCGAGCUAUGAAUUUUAAUUAAAUUCAAAUAUAUCAGUACGCUUACACAUUUUUUUUUAAUGUUAGGCUCUGAAAUAGCAUUUUAUCUUGGAAAACAUCCCAUCUUUUAGGUCACUGUCCAAUGCCAUUGAUGGUAGAGUAUUUUAUUUCCCUCUGACCAGAGAUUUCGGUAGAAACUUGAUUCUUUUACACUGGGAUAAGCAGGAUUUGGUAAAAUGCUCUGGAGAGUUAUUUUUAGGUUGUUGAAACUAUUACUCAUGACUGUAGGCAUAUGAUGUUUGUACUGAUUUUUCAGAAUGUUUUUCUCUCCUCCCCUCCGCCUCUCACAACUUAAUUUAUUAUGCAGAGGGCAGCAAGGUAUACAUUUCAUAUUUUGAGAUAGUAAGUGUUUCUUCCCUGAAACAUGGUUUUUCUUUGAAAUAAAUUUCUGAGUAAUUCCGAACCUAGAAAUGUGUCAAGAUUUUUUCCAGAGUAAGUUGUAUUUUUUUUAAUGGGAUUUUCAAAAUGGUUGAAAACUUCUUUCUUGUCAAUGUAAGUAUUCUACAUUAAAAAAAAAAUACAGAUAAUAAAACAUGCACCAAAACAUAAUUGUGAUUUUUAUGAUAGACUUUAUUUUUAACCUAAAUAAAUUCUGUAAAUUUACAAAUUAAUGAUCAUAUCAAUAAACAGGUAAAUAAUAUACAUUUCUAACAAAAACUAUUAGUAAAUAAUACAUACAUAAUAUUUAACUCUUUAUAAAAAUAUUUGAAAUAAGUGUAUAAGACUAGAAAAUUACAAUCUUGUGUUCAUUGAAAUUAAGACAAAUAGAAUGAGAGUUUGUAUAAAACAAUAAUUUUUAUGUUUUAUGCCAAUUUUAUAUUGAGUUUUUCCUAAAAGACCUUGAAGUUCUUAAAAUAACAGAGCAUUUUAUUUUCUCAUUUGAUUUUGCUGCAAGUUUUUGGUUGUCUUUUUCUUUUGUGGAAUUUCUUUUUUUUUUUUUAAGCAAAAUGUCUGGGAAUUCCAGCGUCAAAAGAAUAUUGCUUUACAUGCCAUCUGUUUUUGGGUGCCAAUUUUAAAUUACUUUUUAUCAAAGAAUUGAGAGAAUUGGGAUAAAAAUGUGAAUUUAGAUAAAUCUUAAUGCCUUGGACAGAAAGAAUAGGAAGAUGUAGAGAUGCACUUUUAAAAAAAAUGGCUAAUAAUGGAAUUUUGCUUUGUGUGUGUGUGUAUGUGUGUGUGUGUAUAUAUUUUACCUCAUAUCUUGAUAGAAAUAAAGUUGAUUUUUCAUGAUCUUUUUAACCAGUUCUUAAAAUAUCAUGCAUAAAACCUGGGUCAUUUUUGAGUUUAAAUUCAAGAAAAGUUUAGGUAUCUGCCUCAAGGAAAAUGUUUAUACCGAAUAGUGAGCAGUGAGUGAAUGAUGACUAGUUUUGCUCCAGAUGGUGCUGGAAUUGCCAUUUUGGAACUGAGUCCUGUUCUGUUAACCAUUUCUUUAAGUAAAUGCCAAGAAUAAGAGGAUGAUUGUUUUAAAAUUAACAAACCUCAGUGAGGAAGGUAUUGAGGAAGACCUGGCCUUUCUGGGGGUGAGAACAGUGAGAACUGGAACUUUAUUGUAAUCAGUAUACUCUGGAAAGCUGUUUCACAUUUACAGUGUUUAAAGUGGUUUCAGGGCCAGUAGAUAAUAUAUUCAGGCAAUCCUUUUUAUAUGAUGAUUCUGUACCUUUUUAUUUUACUUUACCUCUAAGCUCUGUUAGGUGACAGUUGUGAGAAUAAUCUUAAUAAGUUACUCAUUUGCUAGCAAAAAGCCAUACUCUUUUGUCCUGUGAUUUGGGAAUUGAACCUUUGGAUCUUUGCCCACUAAUAUUUCAUAAAUUAGAUGGUGAGAUGGCUGCAGUGGACUUGAAUCCCCCCAUGCUCUACCCUACCUGCCUUAUAUAAGCCCCUUGUUGUAUGUCUUCCAUAUCAUCUAGCUUUUUGCACACUCUGCUGCUAGACUCCUCCCGUCCAGACUGCACCUCACUCUAAACCAUAACUCUGAUCCUAUGAGUCUUCUAUUCCUUUGCAAACAAACCACUGAUGUAUCUCAUGAAUCUUUUUUUUUCUUUUUUCUGAGGAUAAGGUCCAAAUUCAUUAGUAUCUUUUAAAAAGAUUUUCAUUAUCUUAUGUCAGCUUCCCCACUUUUAACCUGCUUUCCGCACGCCCCUCUUUACCCUGCCUCUCUCUUCCCAUCCUUUUCAUUUCAACUAAAAUGCUUUGAUACCUGUCUUGCCCUCUUAGGGAAAAAAAAAA
rnacentral:lncRNA from 1 species